CGGGACACGUGGUAUCCUGUCUGAAUAUGGGGGGACCAUCCUCCAAGGCUAAAUACUCCUGACUGACCGAUAGUGAACCAGUACCGUGAGGGAAAGGCGAAAAGAACCCCGGCGAGGGGAGUGAAAAAGAACCUGAAACCGUGUACGUACAAGCAGUGGGAGCACAGAGCAAUCUGUGUGACUGCGUACCUUUUGUAUAAUGGGUCAGCGACUUAUAUUCUGUAGCAAGGUUAACCGAAUAGGGGAGCCGAAGGGAAACCGAGUCUUAACUGGGCGUUAAGUUGCAGGGUAUAGACCCGAAACCCGGUGAUCUAGCCAUGGGCAGGUUGAAGGUUGGGUAACACUAACUGGAGGACCGAACCGACUAAUGUUGAAAAAUUAGCGGAUGACUUGUGGCUGGGGGUGAAAGGCCAAU
rnacentral:rRNA from 1 species